rnacentral:sRNA from 1 species
GGCAGCGCGGGAGCGGGGCGUUGAGGGGCCGGCCUAGCUUGGGGCUCUGGCCUUGCGUCUUCCGACCGAAUCGCCGCUCCUGAGCCCGGUGCUGGGCUGCCGCUAUCGCCUGGCCGUGGGUGCCGGAGCGGCCGGGUUGCGACUCAGCGUUCUUGGGUGGGCGCGGGCGGCGUCUCCGCGGCGGGCAUCCCCCGAGGCCGCCCUCGGGCCAUGAUCGACUCCGUGAAGCUGCGCCGCGACAGCGCGGCGGACUUCUUCUCCCACUACGAGUACCUGUGCGCGCUGCAGGACUCGGUGCCGCUGCCCGCCGUGCGCGCCUGUCUCCGGGAGGGCGUGCUGGAUUUCAACGCCGACCGCCUCCGCGGGGUGGACUGGGCGCCUCUGCUGAGCACCCUCAAGAUCAAUAAAGACCUGCCCUUGGUCUCCAUCAAGAGUUUCUUCCAGCCCUGGCUGGGGGACACAGAUGCGACUUCUGGAACUGGAAGUCAAAGAAAAGAAGAGGAGUUGUCCAGAAAUAGCAGAUCUUCUUCAGAGAAAAAGACCAAAACAGGUGAAUAUACCAAAAAACACUCUGAUAAGCAACACCCUAGAAAGGACCUGCAUUCCUGAUCUGACUGUCCUGAAAACCAGAAAA